CGUCAGAACAGUUUCCCUCAGCGGUUCACCCUGGGCGUUUACUAACCGUUCCUGUGACGUCACAUCUGAAGGGAAUUCUCUUCCUCAGUCAGUCAGUCCUCUAUAAAACCGGCUGCUAUCACCCAUGCUGGUUCAGUAAGAGCUCAGCCUCUACUAUCAGACACAAGACAUCUCGAAACGACUUCUCUGUUUUCUAACGCCAUGUCUUUCUACGUGUCUUCAGACUCGCGUCGUGUCGGUCCCGCCGUGAGCGGCAUCAAAUUCGACACGGCGCACCGCAAGAAAGCGUCGCCAAACAUUUUCGAGAACGUCAACCAGGAGGUGCUGGUGAAGCUUUUCGAGAAAGCGGGAGACCUGAAGGCGGUGGAGAGAGCCAGGAGCAUCCUCACACUGUACCAGGACCCUGAGGAGAUCUCCAAAGCGCUCAUGGCUCUUCAGCAGGACAAGAAGGACAAAUUCAUGCUGAUUACGGGACUGACCCGCCAGUCGCUGAAGUUUCGAUGAGGAAAGUUGGAUGCUGUGCAGUUGUUUGCACACGCUAAGGGAAAAAAACGUGAAGCAUUGGCACACGCUACUUAUGCUGGAGACUGAUGUUCCUCGAGGCUUCGUGAUGAACUGUUGAUGGUCAUGUUGGUGUGCUGUGAACACUGAACUGGACCAGUGCUUGAGCUUGCAGACUUGAGUCCUGAUGCUUUCUUGACAUCAUGAAGAUAAAGAAAUGCAUUUGAAAUACGGACUGAUGUCGCCGCUGAAAUGUAAAGAUGUUCAGUGUGUGUCAUCCACAGUGUCUGCAUUGCGUUGUUAAACAUUUUACUUGAUGAGAGAAAACAUAUUUUGAAUAAAACUGUUUUUAUACGAUUCA